rnacentral:rRNA from 1 species
GAUCCUGGCUCAGAAUCAACGCUGGCGGCGUGCUUAACACAUGCAAGUCGAGCGGGAAAGGGGGCUUCGGCCCNUGAGUAUAGCGGCGGACGGGUGAGUAACACGUGGGUAAUUUGCCCUUGGGUGUGGAAUAACUCAGGGAAACUUGAGCUAAUACCGCAUGACAUCCUUCUCUCACAAGAGUUGAGGAUCAAAGCCGGGGACCCUUCGGGGCCUGGCGCCUGAGGAGAAGCCUGCGCCCGAUUAGCUAGUUGGUGAGGUAAUGGCUCACCAAGGCUUCGAUCGGUAGCCGGCCUGAGAGGGCGGACGGCCACACUGGGACUGAGACACGGCCCAGACUCCUACGGGAGGCAGCAGUGGGGAAUUUUUGUCAAUGGGGGAAACCCUGAACAAGCAACGCCGCGUGGAGGACGAAGACCUUCGGGUUGUAAACUCCUGUCGGAGGGGACGAAAGCGGUUGAGGCUAAUAUCCUCGGCCAUUGACGGUACCCUAUGAGGAAGCCCCGGCUAACUCCGUGCCAGCAGCCGCGGUAAUACGGGGGGGGCAAGCGUUGUUCGGAAUUACUGGGCGUAAAGGGCGCGUAGGCGGGCGGGCAAGUCUCUCGUGAAAUCCCACGGCUCAACCGUGGAACUGCGGGAGAUACUGCCUGUCUUGAGUCCGGGAGAGGAGGGUGGAAUUCCCAGUGUAGCGGUGAAAUGCGUAGAUAUUGGGAGGAACACCGGUGGCGAAGGCGGCUCUCUGGACCGGUACUGACGCUGAGGCGCGAAAGCUAGGGGAGCAAACG